GAUGAACGCUGGCUACAGGCUUAACACAUGCAAGUCGAGGGGAAACGACGGGGAAGCUUGCUUCCCCGGGCGUCGACCGGCGCACGGGUGAGUAACGCGUAUCCAACCUGCCUCUGACUGAGGGAUAACCCGUCGAAAGUCGGCCUAAUACCUCAUGGCAUCGUCUGCGGGCAUCCAACGACGAUUAAAGAUUUCAUCGGUCAGGGAUGGGGAUGCGUCUGAUUAGCUUGUUGGCGGGGUAACGGCCCACCAAGGCUACGAUCAGUAGGGGUUCUGAGAGGAAGGUCCCCCACAUUGGAACUGAGACACGGUCCAAACUCCUACGGGAGGCAGCAGUGAGGAAUAUUGGUCAAUGGGCGGGAGCCUGAACCAGCCAAGUAGCGUGCAGGAUGACGGCCCUAUGGGUUGUAAACUGCUUUUAUGCGGGGAUAAAGUGAGGGACGUGUCCUUCAUUGCAGGUACCGCAUGAAUAAGGACCGGCUAAUUCCAUG
rnacentral:rRNA from 1 species